rnacentral:rRNA from 1 species
CUACGGGACGCACCAGUGAGGAAUAUUGCACAAUGGAGGAAACUCUGAUGCAGCAACGCCGCGUGGAGGAUGACGCAUUUCGGUGUGUAAACUCCUUUUAUAUGUCAAGAAAAUGACGGUAGCAUAUGAAUAAGCACCGGCUAACUCCGUGCCAGCAGCCGCGGUAAUACGGAGGGUGCAAGCGUUACUCGGAAUCACUGGGCGUAAAGGACGCGUAGGCGGGUUGGAAAGUCAGGUGUGAAAUCCUACAGCUUAACUGUAGAACUGCACUUGAAACUUCUAAUCUAGAGUAUGGGAGGGGGAGAUGGAAUUAGUGGUGUAGGGGUAAAAUCCGUAGAUAUCACUAGGAAUACCUAAAGCGAAGGCGAUCUCCUGGAACAUUACUGACGCUAAGGCGUGAAAGCGUGGGGAGCAAACAGGAUUAGAUACCCCCGUAGUC